CUCCAACCUGUCAGAGCAAAUCACAGCAGAGUAUAAGGAGUUUUGAAGGGAGCAAAUCUACACGUCUAGUCCCUUGAAAGUGUCCACCUACAAGAGAGCGAAUCUUCCGUGUUCUGGGAAUUCCCUCCCUCAUUCUGUCAGUGUGGCUGUGCGUUCCUCUGCCAGCCGUCUUUUCUCUUCCUCAGCGCUCAGGCUCUUGACCGCUCCUACUGACAUCACUCAGUGUUCCCGCCACAUACACCUCGACUGCAACUCACAAACCACACACCACCCAUGAGUAUGGUUACUCUCAGGGUAGCCCUGAUGCAUAUUCUUGGUCCCUGCCGCGCUCCUGAAGGCUUCCGGUAGGAGAGGAAGAAGGCUUCCGGUGGGAGAGGGAGAAGGCUUCCGGUGGGGACAAAUCUCUACUUUGUCCUUUGUGGACUUCAUACGAGAUCCAGCUACAUAUUCUCCAAGAACCAGAAGGAAAAUUUUCACCUAUGAAAUGAUUGUCUCCAGAAGUCUACAGCUAACAUAAAAAUAGUAAAGGCUUCACCACUUUGGAAGAACCGAAAAAGUUCAGUGAUACUAGCCUGGGAAAUGAAUUUCAAAAGCAACUUGCCAUCAGCCCUCAAAUCCUCUCUCUCCAUUGGUUAUCUAAGAAGUCUGGCACCUCUAAAAUCAGAGAGGCAGAAGGUGAGAGAAGAGUCUGGAAAAGGCUGCCCUGUGAUCCCAAUGGAAUUGGUGAUAGUUUCUUCCAGGUUUGGUGGGUGAGGAAAGUAACCUUUUUCUUCAGCAGUACUCUCAUGGAUUCUUUGGAGACCUCACUAGGAUCAUUAGACUGUGCUUUUUAUAAUACAGCUUUCUUUUCAAGAAUGCCUUAGAGAACAACAUUCUCUAGAAUAUUGCUGAAUUGCAUGACUUCUGAGAUUCUCAGGGAAACAUUUUGUUGUUCUUGCUUUGAGAAGAUCUUUGAGGAGAACUAUUAGCAUAGU
rnacentral:lncRNA from 1 species